AGAUGCUUUUGCUUAGCGUGGACAGAAGCAGAGGUCGGCCUCAGGGGGCAGGUUCACGAAGCUGCUGAGCUUUAUAGUGAGGUCAAUGUGUGUGACCCCCGGAGGAUGCUUGACGUGGAAGCUCUGCAGGAUGGUGGUGGUGUAGAGGAAGAGUUCCAUCCGAGCCAGUCCUUCACCCAGGCAGUUCCUUUUCCCUG